AACGAACGCUGGCGGCAUGCCUAACACAUGCAAGUCGAACGAGAUCUUCGGGUCUAGUGGCGCACGGGUGCGUAACGCGUGGGAAUCUGCCCUUUGGCUCGGAAUAACAGGUGGAAACGACUGCUAAUACCGUAAGAUGAGGAAAGUCCACAGGUUUAUCGCCAGAGGAUGAGCCCGCGUAGGAUUAGCUAGUUGGUGUGGUAAAGGCGCACCAAGGCGACGAUCCUUAGCUGGUCUGAGAGGAUGAUCAGCCACACUGGGACUGAGACACGGCCCAGACUCCUACGGGAGGCAGCAGUGGGGAAUAUUGGACAAUGGGCGAAAGCCUGAUCCAGCAAUGCCGCGUGAGUGAUGAAGGCCUUAGGGUUGUAAAGCUCUUUUACCCGGGAUGAUAAUGACAGUACCGGGAGAAUAAGCUCCGGCUAACUCCGUGCCAGCAGCAGCCGCCG
rnacentral:rRNA from 1 species